AGCUUCAGUAUCGCGUUGGCGUGCAACCCGAACGGACGUGAAAUCGUAGACGUCAGGGCAGGUUGUGCCGUGUCUCCCGUGCGUAAACGUGCUUCGGAACGCGCCGCAGUGUUUGGUGCCGCGAAUUUGUGCCGCGGCCAAAGCAAGCAAAGCGAAGAAGAGGAAGGAAAAGUGCUCGCGCACAAGUCGCGCCCAUCGCACGUGCAUCCCAAAACGCACGACAAAAAAAAAAAAACAAGUCAAAAAGUUAUACUCUCGCGAAGAGUUUGUCUUUCUUACAAAACUAAUAUUCGCCCAGGUGGCUUACAAUCGCACUCCUGCAAAGUUUAAGACGUCCAACGCGCUCUCCUGGCACAACCAGGUGGCCACUGCAAAGGACGUGGACACUCUAGAGAAAAAAAUACGCUUCUUUUUGCACCGACUUUUAUCUGCACAGCCUAACUGGGAAGAGGCCGGGAAACAGCCGAAGCAGCAGCAGCAGCCGAUAUUCGCGAAUCACUCGAGGGCAAGUAACAGUUCUUUCACCCGGCGCAACGUUUGCGCGGGAAAGGAAGAAGGCAAGAAGCACCGUGCCCAACUGUGCGCACGAACUGUCUGCUGUAUUCAUUAUUCGCACGGCUUAAGGCACGCCGUAAAUAGAGCACACACACACAUUAAACCCGACGCGCUGCUUGCGCAGAAAACGAAGCUGAAGACGUGUAAAGUGACCCCUCACUUGAGCCUUCAAAUCUUGAGUGUCCGGCGUGUUUGGAGUGGAGGAGUCACUGGAAUCCAGGCCCUUGUCAACGAGCCAAACACCCUGUUGGUACUCACCUGGCGCCUCAGUUUCUGGAGCAAAGGUGACGGAAAAGACGCGAAACCAAAUCAACCACCGGGUGGCGGCAACAAAACCCCAAAACAGAUCAAGGUUACUAGAUGAAAGUGUACCGCACCGCGGACCCAGCUCGUAGGUGAAGAAGAAAACAGCCCACAAGACGGGACACCCUCGUACGCCAUCUGUCAUCUUAAUUCACCGGUGGUGGGCCACCGACCGGACGUUGGCGUUGCUGCUCAAGAGUUCAAGCUUUUUGUACAAUUAAACGGCAACUAUUUAACAGUGUGGAACCAGCGCACCGGUGUGGUUGUUGUUGUUGCUAUUGUAGCUUAGCCUACUCUGUGUCUGUGUGUGCAUUAGAUUGUGUGUGUGCGUGUGGUACGGUUUGUGUGCCUGUGUGUAUUCCCCGCCCAAAGUGAGUCGAAGAAGUGAGUGAGUGGAAUCGAUAAAUCAAAGUAGGCGCGAAUCAACUGCUACAGCAAACUCAGAAUCGAGACGUGAAGAGAGUCACCACAGACACAUCUCUUGCCAACUCGAGCUGAAACCCCGCACAGCCAGCCAGCUGGAAGUCGUAUUCGAAAACCGGAAAAAAGGUAUUUACUUACAAGCGGAAAAGCAAAGUGUCUGUGCGUGUGUUCGUGUGUGUUAGUUUGUGAGGUUAGUGUGCGUAUCGUUCCGUGACGUGCGUGAGCCCCAAAUAUCGAGGGGUGGAAAAUUUCGCCCCCCCCCCAUCAAACCGGAGGAAGGGUUGGCCGGAACAUCCCGGAAACACUCGCCCCCGCGGCUGCUGCUACCGGAAAAUUUGAAAUUGACCGUACCAAACGAACCGAAGCCGAAGUAGCCUGAUCCAUCGUUCCAUCUUGGUGCCUGGUGGUGCAUCAUCUUGAUAAAAAGAACCCAAAACGUCGAUCCUGAUCCGGAUAGGAGAGCAGCAGUAUCGCGCGCGCCGACAGUAAAUUGGAACACGACCGACGUCGAGAUCGGGAAAAACCUCUCCCCAAACACCGGACCCGCACAGACAGACAGCAGCAGCAGCACCAGCAUGGAAGUGGCGUCACUGGCAACCGGGACCGGCACGACGACGGCAACGCGGGCACCAUUCCAGCGCGAGGUGCGCGAGUGGCAACAUGUCGAUCCAAAUACGGGCGCCCUGCUGACGGGCCGGCUCGAGGCGGACCGCUGGGUAAACGGGCCACUCAACAGCUACGGCAAGAUGGUUUCACAGAACCUGUCCACACCGGACGGAACGCAGCACACGCAGCGGAAGCAGAUGGAGAUCCUGCAGGCCCGCACGUCCGCCGGCUCGCUGCAAGUGGUCCGCGCCCAAACCGUCCAAACGACCUCGUCCCGCUGGUCCUCCUCGACGGUGCACUCCACCACCACGAGCACAGAGCAAACGACGGGCAGCAGCGGCAGCGUUGGCGCCAUCACCGGACCCACCGCUGCUGGUUCGCCCCUCGCAACGAACGGCUUCUCCAGCCAUCAUCUCCUAUCUUCCUUCCACCGUCCGCUGUCCUCUGGCACUACCAGCAGCAGUAGACUCUUGACUGUAGGAUCUAGUCGAUCCGAUGCACCACAGACGACACCACUCGGCGGAUCUGCGUUCGUCAGCACGGCCACGAAACCGUUCCCAAGGUUUUCCUCCAGCCCAACGUCCGCGGGCAGCAGCUUCGUCAACACCAGCGGACCACUCCGGUACGGCCGGCAGCUGUAUGCAGUCGAUGCGGAUGCGCAUGACGAUCGUGGCUCGUACCACCACACUGCUACCAACCAGCAGCCCCUUCGUACCGUUGCCGUUGAACAGGACAGCAGCAUCAACGGCAACAGCGUACCGCUGGCCCGCGGCAAGAGCAUCUCGAUCGAGGACCUUUCGACCGAGCGUGACGAGAGCAACUUCGAUGACGACGUCGAACCCACGCAGUGGAAGCGAGUGAGCAAAAUACGGCGAUCAUUACAGUUCCCAAGGAAAACCACCCCGAGGACCAACACACGCCCGAUCGACCUGCCCGAGAACUCCGUCAGCGUGUCGCGCAUCUGUCAGGAGCUCGAGAACGGCCGCCGUCUCAACACGGCCAUGCGCAACAACCACAUCGACUUUGUGGCGCUGGACAACAUCCUGAAGAGCGUUGCGGAUCAGCCCUGCACGGCCGCGACCACACCGCCCCACAGCAAUCCGACCCACAGCAAAUCGCCCCCGAAAGCGUCCUUCCUGACGGCGGAAUCGCUGCGCGAAAUACGCGGCCGCCUGCGCCGGCUCAGCAACGAGUCGCUGUACCGUGACGACAUGAGCCCGGCCGAUGACGCUUCCGGGCAGACGGUGGCGAGCGAUCGACCCAGCCCCGCUGACGAGGGUGGCGUAACGAUCACCGAGGUGGAAACGCGGCUCGGUCAGCUCGAGACGAGCAGCUCGUCCGACUCGAACUAUCGCAGCAGCAGUUUGCAGACGAGCAAGAAGCCAGCGCCAGACACAACGGUGCUGGCGCCGGACGAUUGGCAUUCGCGCCGUAAGUCAUACGGGUUUGAGCGGAUGAGCCAGCAGCCGCUUGGCAGCGGGUUUGCCAUGGCCAAGAUGGACUCGUCGACGGACAGUGGCAUUGGACGGUCGUCGGAUUUGAGCUCGAGCUGGUCGAGUGCCGCCACAGAGAGUGGUCAGGGUGCGGGCGGUUCCUACCAUCAUCAGCGGGCGACGAUCGUGACGCUUGGCGAACGAUCACAGCUGAAGGAGAAGCAAGCGACGAACCCGGCGAUGGUGAUCAAAAUCACUAGCAAGCCGGCUGACAGCACCAGCGACACGUUUGCAGUUCCAUCCUUGGAACCAACGGACGAGGAACCGAAGCGCCACUCGAUCGCGGUCGACGAGACGAGCUACGUGCGGGACAGCUUGCGCACCAUGUUCGAGCGCAAGUCGUCGGUGCACGUGAACGGAUUCAGCCACACGCUCAUCGACGAUCUGAGCCGCAACAAGAAGCGGGUCGAGUUCUGCAAGACGGAGGUACACUUUACGGCCGACUCCGGCCGGGUGAACAUCGUCGAGACGGAUGAGAAGCCACCGCCAACGAACAACUUCCGCCGGCGACGACGCUCAUCCGGCGGUUCGUCCUACCUGGUGUCGAACCUGGACGGUGAUUCGGACAGUGUCAACGCGACGGAUGAAUCGAAACUGGUGGGCCCCUCGUCGGAGAGUGUUGUGAUCGAGCAGGACACGGCGCCGGUCGUUACCACCACCAUCGGGGGAAUGGGUCGUACGGUACCGGAACCAACGCCCCGGAAGUACGUUCCAUCGGCCACCGUCACCGUGUCGGAUGAAAGCGAUGGCCACUCGACGGAUGAGAUAUCGCUGCGCAGCAUUCUGAAAAACAAACCCGUCAAACCGAAACCGUACGUGCUGGGCGAGAAUCUGGACAGCAACGAGGCGUUGUGGGGUGUGAAGCUGAAGCCGGUGGUAGCAGGAGGAGCGACGGUCGAGCAGAGCCAGCCCAGACUGCUGAGUGUGGAGAUGGGAACGGAGUCGAAAAGUUCGUCGCCCAUUGCCGCUGGUAGCGGCUACUCCACGAGGAUUAACCUGACGAAGGAACCGGCGGGGCCCAGCUCCUGGAGUGGCAGCAAUUCCACAGUAGACAAAGAGAUCCUUCACAGUGCGACGAACGGGCACGAGUCGGCUGCGGCGAAAUCAACCACCAAGAUCCUGAUCGACAUGACGUCAGCGGGCGAAGAGAAAGGACCGGCGGCGGCGGCGGGCGACGAGCUAAAGUCAACCUCGCUGAUCAUGCGUACCAUGCGUGCCGCGACCAAGCUCGACGAAGCGCUGAAGAGUCUGCAAGCCUUUCGGCGCGACUCGCUGGGAGAGAGCGGAACGCCAACAGGGCUGUAUCAGAGAGGUGGAGUCGACAUUGCCAGCCCGAAAGUGCGUCGCCAUUCCGCAUUCUGUCAGCUGAAUGGAGGUGCUGGUGUGAGUCAGAACAGCAGCAGCAGCAGUACGAUCAGCAGCCACUCGAUCGCCAAGUCCAGCAGUGCCAGCAGUAUCUACGCCGACUACCCGAAGCUGAGGACAUCAGGGAAGUAUGCGUCCUCGCUCGAUGGAGAUUCGCUGGAGCGUGAUGCCACGGUGUACGGAGUGUCACGGUACACUUCCGUCCUGCCAUCGACAGCAACGACGGCAGCAUCCCGUCGUAUCCUAACGAGCGAAUCGCGGCUGUCCGAUUUUGAGGCUUAUAUAAGCAAAAACACAGCGUCGGUAAGGCGUUCCAGCACGGCGGACGAUGUGGAUCGACUGGUGAGCAGUAAACCGAUCGCCGCACCGAGACUGAAGAAGCUCCAAGGCUCAACCGUUCUUAGUCAGCAGCUGUCGCAGCUACGCCGACUGUACGAUGCGGCCGAACUGUACGAUAGUGACAGUGAUAGCGCGAAGGCGGACGAGGAGGUGAAGCUGUACCUGGGCAAUCUGGCCGACGCCUCAUCGUCGACGUCUUCGUUUGGGCAGGCAACGGAACUGUCCGGUAGCUGGAGUCGCAUCAAAGCGAAACGAAACAUUCAGAAGUUCAACGGUAGUAGCCUUUCGACGGUGACGGCUGCACGCGACGAACCUAAGGAUACCGCCUUCUCGGUGAACUCGUCUGCAGAGUUUGAUGUUGUGAAACCCUCGGCCCUGAUCAGCCGCCAGCCGGCCAAACCUUCUGCUGUGAUGUCGAUUGAGCUGAAGAGCCCAACGCCCGUCAAGAAACUGCCACCAGCUUCUCACACCUCUAGUCCAGACACUUCUACGACAAAGAUAACAACGACACUGAAUGAUGAAUCGACGGCUGCUAGCACGCAGCAGCAAUCACCGAAGUUCCGACGUUACAUUCCGACCACGGCCACCAGCGCCACCACGCCCGGUGCCGUGCGUAACGAGGAACGCGCCUCGCUCCGGCUGUCGUCCGGUGCGCGGCAACUGCGCGAGAAUGAACUGUCAUUUUUCGGCGUCAACCCGAACAAGCAGCAGUCGUCCAGCCCGGCGGGCCCCACCGGCAAACCGCCAACGACUUCGACGACGACCCCGAACUCACCCUUUCAGCGAUCGGCCACACUAACGUCCUCCUUUAUUAGACGCUCUGGUACCACGACGACAUCGUCGACGACGACCACUACGGGGUCUGGCGAUAGUGCCACAUCCAAGACGUCCCUUUGGCAGCUAACCAACGAUAAGCCGGAUCUGUUACGGCACGGUCAGCAAGCAGCUGCAGCAGUAGAACAACCGAAGAGUCAGGCUGUUGCAGCUCCACGACCAGCUGUGAUACGCACUGGAUCAUCCUCCGUUGCUACCAGCAAUAGUGUGAGCGUAAACAGCAGCAGUAGCAGUGUGACAACGUCCACACUUUCAUCGGCCGAUGGUAGUCCCCACUACGAGAACUUGUCCCACUUUGCGCUGAAGCCGAAGGCAGCACAGCGUUCUGUGGGUUCUUCUCCGUCGGCUGGAGAGUUGUUGGUGCAGCAGCAGACGGCGAAGGUUGCAGAGAGCGAGAAACCGGCUGCAGCAUACGACCGGAAGAAGGAUUUGGAGCGGGAUGAACGCAUCUUGGAGGAGCUUACCCGUGCCGCGGAUGAGAUAUUGAAUGUUGUGAACAACAUGUCGAACGGUGAAAGUAUGGAGAGCAUUCUGAGUGAGCUGAACGACGGUGAGGGGCAUUAUCGACGACUCUCAACCGGUGGCUGUACGCUUGGCACUAUCCGUGAGUGCUCAACGACGAACAAGAUCAUGAAGUCACGGGGCGUUCAAGUUUCCAAAAACAUUGACGACAGCCUCAAGCGUCACCAUCAGCGGCAAUCGAGAUUGUCAUCAGCAUCUUCGAACGAAAGCAUCGGACGCCGACCGGAGGGAAACUUUACGCGCAGUGUCUCGCUACGCGGUCCCUCGACUGCUUCCACGACCGCCGGUGAUAGUCUUUCCAGCCGCUCCGGAUCUAGCCGUCGAAGCCGCGCUCCAAUGGCGACCGAAACCCGACGUCUGGUGCGCAUGUGCAGCAAGGAAAAGCUACAAUCAAACGCUAGCUCCUCCGAAGAUCUUCCCAGCACUACUGUGGUAGAGCCACCGCGUAGACCUCGCCGGACGCGCUACCACUCGAAGGAAACGAAGGACCCGGAACGCACGAGUGGCACUAGCAACGGUCACGGUACCAGAGUGAGCUCCUCCACCCGGUCCCAUCGUAGCGAGCGAUCGAGCGGAUCAAUUCGAACGGUCAGCUCCAGGCAUCAGGGACAAAGUGCAACUCCAACCACUGGACACACUGCCCAGACAGCGGUAAGCGCAAGUGUGUCGAGCCACCAUUCGCUACACUCCGCCUCGUGUCCAUCGUCCCGCGGGCUCAAGUCAUCGGCCACUAACGGGCACCACCAGCACCAUCAUUCGCAGCUGGCCUCCGCCACCACCACAACGUACGUAUUGCAAUCGUUCAUGCUGGUGCCGCCGCCCCGGCGCAAACGACGCCAGCAGCUCCAGCAGCACCCGACCAAGGUGGCCAAGGUGGUGCGGCGCCAGUCGUCCCGCCUAUCGCGCCACUCGCGGGAAGCAAAGCUGGCAAACCCGGUGCGCCGUCGCCGCCGCCGGCUUGAGCAGUGCAUCUGUUCCUAAACAAAAAAACACCCCGCGCAGCAAGCUUUUGACCAUUUGCGGCGGUUGGUCGCGCGUGUGCCUCGCUUAUUUCAUUUGGCCGCUGUUUGCGUAUGCGUAUGUGCUUGUGUGUGUGUAUGUGUGUGUAUUUGGAGUUAGGUGUGUACAUAACAGCGCGCGCGCGGGCCGAACACUCGGCGAUAGAUCGUCCAAAAAACAUCACCGAUAAGAGACGAACCCACACACACACAUCGGAUGACGCGUAGGAAAGUUCCCAACCAUGCAUGCACUGAUCGCGGGAUCUUCCCUAUUUUUUUGGGGACGAAACAGAUUGUUGGAGCAACGGCAAACAACGGCUAAUGAUGAUGAUGAUGAUGAUGAUGAUGGCACGCCUUCAUGUUGUGCUGGUGCAAGCGGACCAGCUCCAAAAACUGACCCCCCACGGGACGAUGUAACAGCCGACGUUGAUAAGCGACCAAGAAAGAGCCUGAUGAUGAUGAUGAUGAUGAUGUUGUGUCUUACUGGUGGUCACACACUGCUGCACUGCUGGUACCCGAGCAGGCCCCGUACGUACGCUCCAGUUAGCAGUUACGGCGAUAGGGGCUGGCCACGGUGCCUGAAAAUAGAAAAGAAAGAGAGAGAGAGCGCGCUUCUGCUGGCAACAAGCGCAUAAGCGAUGUAUGAUGUAUGAACCAAUUUCAACAAAACAAAAGAUUAACUAACCAACAACGUGGAUUGUGGCGACACCGACAAUUCGACAGCGACGAGCGCAUAAGACGAGGAAGAAAGAACGAAGCAAACAAACGGCAUGUGACGUUAAUGUUACGAAAACGAAAGAUUUAUUAUUGCCCUUUUUCAAUUGUAGUGUUUUUAUGCUUUCCUUUCUUGCGAACACACUUAGUGCAUAAGGUCCGACAUGUGCUCUCACUAACAUUAACACAAACAGCAGAGUUAGAUAGCUGCUCCUUCCUGCCGAAUGGGGUGGGGGAGUAGUUCGCGCUUGACAAACGAUCAAGAUAUCAAGAGCAAACUAUAGCAACACACUUGCAUGCGUUUCGAGAGGAUCGCGCACUGUCGUCAGGGGGCAAUCCUGUGAUCACAAUGUAAUAUUUGGUAGCCUACUACUAUUACUACUACACUGCAACUACUACUACUACUGCUACUACUACUACUUGCGUAAAUAUACAUACAUACAUACAUAUCUAAAGAGA